rnacentral:rRNA from 1 species
CAAAAGCAGCAUUCCACCCUGCAUCCUGAUGCUGGCUUUCCUCUGAAGCUAAGCAGGGUUGGUCCUGGUCGGUCCCUGGAUGGGAGACCAGAUGCUGCUGGAAGUGUUGUUGG